UUCAAUUAGAAAAAUGGCAAAACACCAUUGAAUUAUAAGCACCAUUGCCGCAAACAUAUGACAAGGCAAAGCAUUCAGAAUUUACUCAAACAAAUAAGGUAAAGAAAAACAUACCAAUCACUGCUGCUGCUGAUUUUGUUGCUGGUUCUGAGGGUUGGGUGGAGGUGGCAUUCCAGGACGAGGGGGUCCAAACACAGGAACUUGACCACCAGGUGGAGGAGGCAUCCCAGGACGAUGCGGUGGUGGACCAGGCAUGCCGGGUCGAGGCGGAGGAGGUGGGCCCCUCAUCAUCUGCCCAGGCGGCGGAGGACCCAUCGGCCUCUGCCCAAACUGCAUCUGAGGUGGGCCCUGGAAUUGCAGAGGUGGGCCACCAGGCCUCGGAAACUGUGGAGGCGGCACACCAGGCGGUGGACCCCGCGCCAUCUGCGGUGGGCCCUGACCGGGAUAUCCAGGCAUCUGCCCAGGCGGACGAAUCACCGGAGCAGCCGGGUACGACAUAGGCGGCGCAGAGAGGUUCGGAACAGGAGGGCGUGAAAUCUGCGGCUGCAUCAUGCCGGGGGCGGGCCCACCCACGCCUCGAACCGGGCCGGAGAGACCGGGCUGUGCC
rnacentral:lncRNA from 1 species